CCUACGGGUGGCAGCAGUGAGGAAUAUUGGUCAAUGGCCGGAAGGCUGAACCAGCCAUGCCGCGUGAAGGUCAGUGCCCUAUGGGCGUUAAACUUCUUUUGUGCGGGAGCAAUAAUGGUCACGUGUGGCCAGACGACAGUACCGUACGAAUAAGCAUCGGCUCACUCCGUGCCAGCAGCCGCGGUAGUACGGUGGAUGCAAGCGUUAUCCGGAUUUAUUGGUUUUAAAGGGUGCGUAGGCUGUGAGGUAAGUCAGCGGUGAAAUGCCCCCGCUCAACGGGGUGAAGUGCCAUUGAUACUGGCUUGCUGGAAUGCGGAUGAGGUGGGAGGAAGGUGAGGGGUAGCGGUGAAAUGCAUAGAGAUAAGAAAGAAAAACGAUUGCGAAGG
rnacentral:rRNA from 1 species